AUUGAACGCUGGCGGCAGGCCUAACACAUGCAAGUCGAGCGGAGCGGCGGACGGGUGAGUAAUGCCUAGGAAUCUGCCUGGUAGUGGGGGAUAACGUCCGGAAACGGGCGCUAAUACCGCAUACUAUCAGAUGAGCCUAGGUCGGAUUAGCUAGUGGGUGGGGUAAAGGCCUACCAAGGCGACGAUCCGUAACUGGUCUGAGAGGAGGAUCAGUCACCCUGGACCGGAGACACGGUCCAGACUCCUCCGGGAGGCAGCAGUGGGGAAUAUUGGACUAUGGGCGAAAGCCUGAUCCAGCCAUGCCGCGUGUGUGAAGAAGGGCUUCGGAUUGGAAAGCACUUCAAGUUGGGAGGCGUUACCAACAGAAUAAGCACCGGCUAAUUCCGUGCCAGCAGCCGCGGUAAUUC
rnacentral:rRNA from 1 species